GAUGAACGCUGGCGGCGUGCCUAAUACAUGCAAGUCGAGCGAACAGACGAGGAGCUUGCUCCUCUGAUGUUAGCGGCGGACGGGUGAGUAACACGUGGAUAACCUACCUAUAAGACUGGGAUAACUUCGGGAAACCGGAGCUAAUACCGGAUAACAUGUUGAACCGCAUGGUUCAACAGUGAAAGACGGUCUUGCUGUCACUUAUAGAUGGAUCCGCGCCGCAUUAGCUAGUUGGUAAGGUAACGGCUUACCAAGGCAGCGAUGCGUAGCCGACCUGAGAGGGUGAUCGGCCACACUGGAACUGAGACACGGUCCAGACUCCUACGGGAGGCAGCAGUAGGGAAUCUUCCGCAAUGGGCGAAAGCCUGACGGAGCAACGCCGCGUGAGUGAAGAAGGUCUUCGGAUCGUAAAACACUGUUAUUAGGGAAGAACAAAUGUGUAAGUAACUAUGCACGUCUUGACGGUACCUAAUCAGAAAGCCACGGCUAACUACGUG
rnacentral:rRNA from 1 species